AAAGUUAACGUUCUGUUCAGGAAAUUUGAAGCCGUAUUUAUUAGAACUGUUCGUUUUACCCAACACUAAGGCAACUCCAGGCAUGGCCAUUAGUCACAAUUACUGCUUCAAAGCAUCUACGGCUCUUCUAGCUGCAUACAUACAUUUAUAAUUGUAUCUUUCUGAUGUGAUGAUGCUUUUAUUAUAAAAAUAUCUUUGUCUCUUUAAAUAUUUCUUGUUUUAUUUUUUUCGCAUCUUUUUUUUUUUUUUUAAGAUUUUAUUUAUUUGACAGAGAAACAGCAAGAGCAGGAACACAAACAGGAGGAUUAGGAGACGGAAUGCCGGCUUCCUACCGGAUAGGGAGUCCAAUGUCGGGCUUGAUCCCAGGACCCUGGGAUCAUGACCUGAGCUGAAGGCAGAGGCUUUAACCCACUGAGCCACCCAGGUGCCCUUCAGUUUGACAGAGAUCACAAGUAGGCAGAGACAGAGAGAGAGGGAAGCAGGCUCUCCGCCGAGCAGAGAGCCCGAUGCGGGACUUGAUCCCAGGACCCUGAGACCAUGACCCGAGCCGAAGGCAGCGGCUCAACCCACUGAGCCACCCAGGUGCCCUUAACGUAGCCUUUUUAUUGUCUUUCAUACACACAAUUACCAGUAUCUUCCUCCAGCUAUUCUAAAGAUGCACAUCCUAACUGGGGCUAAGUAACUUUAUUUACUUAUUUGUGUUUAAGAUUUAAUUAUUUACUUAUAGAGAGAGAGCGCACGCACAUUGGAGGAGGAGCAGGAAAGGGAUAAGCAGACUUCGUCCUAAUAAGUGAGGAGCCUGAUGUGGGGCUUGAUCCGACGAUCAUGACCUGAGCUGAAAUGGAGAGUCAGAUGCAUAACUGGCUGAGCCACCCAGCACAAGCAGGAGGAGCAGCAGAGGGAAAGGAAGAAACAGACUCCCCGCUAAGCAGGGAGCCCAAUGUGGAGCUCGAUCCUGGGACUCUGGGAUGAUGACCUGAACUGAAAGCAGGGUUUCCUGAAUGAUUUCUGGCAUCUAGAAUGUUACAGCCCUGCAUUGAACAAUUAAACUAGUAGAUAGGUUGCAGUCAGCUUAAUAUUUCAUCUCUGAGGCCUCUUGGCAAAAGUAUGUAUUGGUAGCUUUAGAGUGAAGAAACCUGGCAGCCUUACCCAGAUGAACAAAGUUAACCUCAUCGGUGAGGGGCCACACCUGGAACUUGGCAUUACCCGAGAGGCUGCAGCGUGAAGAAUGGCACUGUUUUCAGUGAUAUGCCUCCGAAAGAUGUAGGACACCAGUCAGACCGGGAAGAAACACCACAGACCGAUCCCAGUGGAGGCAUACUGUAUAUAACUUUCCUGCAGUCCUCAAAAAUACGAAGAUUGUAAAGGUCAAGGCAAGGGAGGACUGAGGAAUUGUGCUGGGUUCAACGGAACAAGAAACUUAAAUACAGUUUGUGCUCCUGGUUUGGACCCUUCUGCCAGGAAAGAUGUUGAGACAGGUGGUGAAACUUGAACGGGAUCUCUGAGUGAGGGGUGUAUGGAAAUAUUUUGUACUAUUAUUGCAACU